rnacentral:lncRNA from 1 species
GACUGGAGUUUUACUUCUUUCAGCAGCCACUCCUCCUCACAUCCCGUUGUCCACACUUGAUGAUUCCUAACACUGAAAGCAUCUCCACAUAAUUGUAGUCCUUGCAUUUCUGCUUUUGUUCAUUAUUUAGAUGGAUGCAGGGAUAUACACCGUGCUGAACACAGGCCUAGAUGGCAGGAGAUGAAGUAAGACUGCCUCUACAUGGCUGGAAAAUCCCAGGUAAAGUACUGGCGAGAAAUGCAGCCUGGAGAGGGAAAGGCAAAAGGAUUUGGUGUUUAUUGCCUCCAUCAAGAGUUUCCGAAAUUCAGCUUAAAAACAUUUUGUGAAUAGUACCUUCAAUUCCACAGAAUUGCCACUUACCUUAAGAAAACCACAGUUAGCAAGGUACAUUAAAGAUAAUUAUCUGUGAGAAAUUAAAUAAAAUGAUAAAAUCCUAAGACA